UCCGAAGUAGCUCAAUGGUAGAGCAACCGGCUGUUAACCGGUAGGUCGUGGGUUCGAGCCCCACCUUCGGAGCCA
rnacentral:tRNA from 1 species